rnacentral:rRNA from 1 species
GAUGAACGCUGGCGGCGUGCCUAAUACAUGCAAGUCGAGCGAACGGACGAGAAGCUUGCUUCUCUGAUGUUAGCGGCGGACGGGUGAGUAACACGUGGAUAACCUACCUAUAAGACUGGGAUAACUUCGGGAAACCGUAGCUAAUACCGGAUAAUAUUUUGAACCGCAUGGUUCAAAAGUGAAAGACGGUCUUGCUGUCACUUAUAGAUGGAUCCGCGCUGCAUUAGCUAGUUGGUAAGGUAACGGCUUACCAAGGCAACGAUGCAUAGCCGACCUGAGAGGGUGAUCGGCCACAAUGGAAAUGAGACAAGGGCCAGACUCCUAAGGGAGGCAGCAGUAGGGAAUCUUCCGCAAUGGGCGAAAGCCUGACGGAGCAACGGCGCGUGAGUGAUGAAGGUCUUCGGAUCGUAAAACCCUGUUAUUAGGGAAGAAAAUAUGUGUAAGUAACUGUGCACAUCUUGACGGUACCUAAUCAGAAAGCCAAGGCUAACUACGGG